rnacentral:rRNA from 1 species
AAGAACGCUGGCGGCAGGCUUAACACAUGCAAGUCGAACGCCCCGCAAGGGGAGUGGCAGACGGGUGAGUAACGCGUGGGAAUCUACCCAGAUCUUCGGAACAACUGAGGGAAACUUCAGCUAAUACCGGAUACGGCCCUACGGGGGAAAGAUUUAUCGGUUCUGGAUGAGCCCGCGUACCAUUAGCUAGUUGGCAGGGUAAUGGCCUACCAAGGCUACGAUGGUUAGCUGGUCUGAGAGGAUGGCCAGCCACACUGGAACUGAGACACGGUCCAGACUCCUACGGGAGGCAGCAGUGAGGAAUCUUGCGCAAUGGGGGAAACCCUGACGCAGCAACGCCGCGUGAGUGAGGAAGGCCUUCGGGUCGUAAAGCUCUGUCAGAUGGGAAGAAAUGGAUGGGGGCUAAUAUCGCCCAUCCUUGACGGUACCAUCAGAGGAAGCACCGGCUAACUCCGUG